GGGGCGGGGGCACGGGGGGAGGAAAGCAGGGGAUCGCAAGACCUUGCGCUGAUUGAGCGGCCGAUAUCAGAUUAGCUAGUUGGUGAGGUAAAAGCUCACCAAGGCGACGAUCUGUAGCGGGUCUGAGAGGAUGAUCCGCCACACUGGAACUGAGACACGGUCCAGACUCCUACGGGAGGCAGCAGUGGGGAAUUUUGGACAAUGGGGGCAACCCUGAUCCAGCCAUGCCGCGUGAGUGAAGAAGGCCUUCGGGUUGUAAAGCUCUUUCAGCCGGGAAGAAAAUGCAUGGGUUAAUACCCUGUGCAGAUGACGGUACCGGAAUAAGAAGCACCGGCUAACUACGUGCCAGCAGCCGCGGUAAUACGUAGGGUGCGAGCGUUAAUCGGAAUUACUGGGCGUAAAGCGUGCGCAGGCGGUUUUGUAAGACCA
rnacentral:rRNA from 1 species